GUACAAUCUUUUAUUUUUAUUUUUUUUUUAUUGAGUUUGAUAGAAGUAUUUAAAAUUUUAUUAUUUUUUGGAAGAGAUAUUUUUUAUUAUAGUGUAUUAAGUACGGUGACGGAAAUUGGUUUAAGUUUUAAAAAGAAGAAUUUAUUUUUUGUACCUUGUGUCUCAGGGUCGAUUAAAUUAAAUGUAAAAUUUUACAUUUCUCGAAUUUAUAAGAGCUAAUUGUUUAUUUAUUUUAUUGUUAAAUAACUAUUUAUAAUAAUCAGUUAGAAAUGAAAUGUUAUUCGUUUUUAAAUAUAUCUAGUUUCUUAAGAAAAAAAUUUAAUUUUAUUUUUGCUUUUAACUUUAUUAAUUUUUAUUUUUGUUAUUGGCAACUUUAAAUAGUUAGAGGGAUAAGCUUUUAACUAAAAUAUUAUAAACUAAUUUAUUUUUAAUAAUUUAUAGGAUUAGAAUUUUCUAUUAUUAAGAUGAUGUUAUAAUUAAUUAUUUUUUAUUAAUAUUUAUAUUUGUUUUUAUUUUUUUAUUAAGAUUUAAAAUGUAAUCUUUAUUUUUUAGUAAUAAUGAUUGAAUUAGUAUAACUUAUUGUAUUUUUAUCUUAAAUUUUAAGUUUAUGAUAAGGAAUUCGGCAAAUUUAUUUUCACCUGUUUACUAAAAACAUGUCUUUUUGAUUAUAAUUUAAAGUCUUGCCUGCCCAAUGAUUAAUUUAAUGGCCGCAGUAUUUUGACUGUGCAAAGGUAGCAUAAUCAUUAGUUUUUUAAUUGAAAGCUGGAAUGAAUGGUUUAAUGAGAAAUAGACUGUCUCUUUAUAAAUUUUUUAUAAUUUUAAUUUUGAGUGAAAAAGCUUAAAUGUUUUAGAAAGACGAGAAGACCCUAUAGAGUUUGAUUAUUGCUUUGAUUGAUUAAUUUUUGUAUCUAAUUUUUUUAAUUUUAGUAAUAAUUUUGUUGGGGUGACAUAAAAAUUUGAUUAACUUUUUAUUUAUUAAAACAUAUAUUUAUGAUUAUUUGAUCCUUUAUUUGAGAUUAAAAGAGUAAAUUACCUUAGGGAUAACAGCGUAAUUUUUUUGGAAAGUUCUUAUUUAUAAAAAAGUUUGCGACCUCGAUGUUGGAUUAAAAUUUAUUUCUGGUGCAGAAGCUGGAAUAUUAGGUCUGUUCGACCUUUAAAAUUUUACAUGAUCUGAGUUUAAACCGGUGUGAGCCAGGUUGGUUUCUAUCUUUUAAUAAUUUAAACAUUUUAGUACGAAAGGACCAAUUGUUUUAAUUAUAUUAUUAUUUUUGAAUAUUAUU
rnacentral:rRNA from 1 species